GGGUUAAAUUUUGGGUAAACUUCAAAUACCCCCCCUGUGGUUUCACACUUUUUCACUUUAGUACCCUGUGGUUUAAAGUGUAUUAAGUUAGCCCAUGUGAUUUCGCACUUUCUCACUUUAGUAUCCUGUUGUUUAAAGUGUAUCAAGUUAGUAGCCUUUGGUUUCAUUUUUCUCUUUUUAUUAUCCAUUUCAUUAAUUUUUUCGUUAAAUCAGUGACAAAGUUAAAAUUAAAAAGUACUAAAGUGAAUAUUUGAUAAACCUAUGUAGGGUAUCUGAAGUUUUUUAUAUAUAAUUUAACAAAAUAUUGACGGAGGAAAAAAAAAUCAAUGACAAAGUUAAAACUAUAUAAAGGGUACUAAAGUAAAUAUUCGAUAAACUUAGGUAGGAUAUCUGAAGUUUUUUUUAUAUAAUUUAACGAAAUAUUAACAGAGGAGCCGACGAAAAGAGAAAAAUGAAAACACAUAGUACUAAACUGAUGCACUUUAAACCACAGGGUACUAAAGUGAGAAAGUGCAAAACCACAGGGUACUAAAUUGAUACACUUUAAACCACAGGGUACUAAAGUAAAAAAGUGCAAAAUCAUAGGUGUGGUAUUUGAAGUUUUUCCUUAAAUUUUUAAAUACAAUGCAUGUUAGUCUAUCAAUGAAGUUUAGCUUUGUAUGUUGGCAUGUGGGGGAAGAAAUAAGAAGUAAAUCACAAAGAGAGAGAGAGAGAGAGAGAGAGAGAGAGAGAGUGUGAGUGUGGAAGGGUGAUUUAAGUUUGAUAUUUUUGUAUGUCUCUAUUUGCAAGGAUAAUUUUCAAGGAAAUUUCGAUUUAUCCAAGUUGUGAUUCAGGUGCCUACUUAAAGUAUUUACAAAAAAGUAUUAUUAGAUUUGUUCAAAGAAACAGUAAUAUCUAAUUUCUAUUCCCAAAUCCGUGAGAUCGAGAGCUUGUAACUUUAAUAUAUUUACCUCGGCUUCUCUACUUCAAUAAGCAACAGUUCACUUAAUGUGAAAAAAAAAUACUCUACAAGGAUACUACCUUUCAAGAAGAACAAAUUUAGAUAUGCUCAGAGUUGGCAUCGAUUAUUAAAAGUGAUCCACUUUAAAUCUGGCCAAUUCGAGUCGAUCAUUUGGAAUGUUAGAACGAAGUUCAAAACGCUUCAGUCCUUCAUCGACGGAUGUCACGCCUUUUCUUUUGGAUGGGAUUCUCGCUUCUCCAGAAAUGCUGUGCAAGCUGGUCAACUAGCUAAUCGGAAUCUGUAGUCCUCUUUUGAGGCUUUUUUCAACUCUAUAUCAUCUCGUUUUGUUUAAAUAAAUUUUUGCUCUCGCUGAUUUUCCUCCAAAAAAAAAACAAAACAAAACAAAACAAAAGUUCUUCUAGAAUAGUACUUUAUUAAAGAGCUUGUAGCAAACCAUGUAGAGUUACUAGCAUAGAACCCGCGCUUCGCUGCGGUUAAUGAUCAAAGCACGAUUAACUAUUAAUUUUAUAUUAUAAUUAAAUAAAAUUAUAAUGAAACGGUUAAGUAGAAAAAUAAAAUAAAAAAAAUUUAUAGUUAAAAAAAAGAUAAACAAAGAAAGAUUUAUCUAAAUAUUAUUUUUUUUUUGCCAAUAUAAGAAGAAAAAUAUAUGCCCCAAAAGAAAUUGGUAAUCAUAUAAUCAUUUCUAUUUAAUAAAAAGAGAUUCACCUAGAUAUUGUAUUUACGGUUAAUUUUACACUAUGUUUAAUAAAAAGUAAGAUUAAAUAAGGUAAAAACAGAUCAUAUACUUUAGAAAAAUUGAGGAAAAAAAAUAAAAAUUAAAGUAGGAAAAAAUUGACCAGAAAUUCACUUACAUAAUAAUACUUUUUAUGAUAAAAAAAAGACAUUUGAACUUUCCUAAAAAAACUAAUAAAAAAAAACAUAAUAUCAAAAAUAAAAAAUGAAAACAAAUAAGUUAUGAAGAUAUAUCUUUUAAGUUACAUCUGAAAAGAAGAAGAAGAACUGAGUUACAAACUCCCCGCCACCGGCACCACGCCGCCGCGCGCGUACCCGCCGCCGGGCCCGCCGAACCCCGCGCCCCACCCCCCGCCGAACCCCGCGCCCUCGCGCGCCCCGCGUCGGACACUGCCGAUAGCUCGCGCCGCCCGCUCGCGCUGAGGAGAGGGGGAGAGAGGUGCCCGCGUCCCGCGCCGCCGCCCCUUCGCUGGUGCCCGCCCUCACCGUCGCCCACCCUCGCCCACGCCGCGCCCGCGCCCCGCGCCGGAGCCGGGGCCCGCCCUCUACCUAAUGUUGAUCUGGUGGAAAGAUCUAUGUUUAGAGAGAGAUUGGGAGAGAUAGAGAUGGAUUGAGGGAGAGAGAGAGAAAGGAGAGAGAUAGAGAUAGGUUGAGAGAGAGAGGGAGGUACCUUCACAGCUGGUUUAGAAGGAGAUUAGGGGAGAUAUUGAGAGAGAGAGAGAUUUGGGGAGAUAUUGAGAGAGAGAAAUUUUUUUAGAGAUUGGGGGAGAUAUUGAGAGAGAGAGAGAGGAGUAGAGAUAGGAGAGAGAGAGAGAGAGAGAGAGAGAGAUUGGGGGAGAUAUUGAGAGAGAGAGAGAGAGAUUUGGGGAGAUAUUGAGAGAGAGGAACUUUUUUAGAGAAUGGAGGAGAUAUUGAGAGAGAGAGAGAGAGAGAGGGGGAGGGGAUUGUGAGAGAGGAGCAGAGAGAGAGGGGGGG
rnacentral:lncRNA from 1 species